rnacentral:rRNA from 1 species
GGUGAACGCUAGCGGCAGGCCUAACACAUGCAAGUCGAGGGGUAGCAGGAUUAAGCUUGCUUAAUUGCUGACGACCGGCGCACGGGUGCGUAACGCGUAUGCAACCUACCUUAUACUGGGGUAUAGCCCGGAGAAAUUCGGAUUAAUCCCCCAUAGUACUAAUGAAUCGCAUGGUUUAUUAGUUAAAGCAUUGCGGUAUAAGAUGGGCAUGCGUCCUAUUAGCUAGAUGGUGAGGUAACGGCUCACCAUGGCUACGAUAGGUAGGGGGCCUGAGAGGGUGGUCCCCCACACUGGUACUGAGACACGGACCAGACUCCUACGGGAGGCAGCAGUGAGGAAUAUUGGCCAAUGGGCGCAAGCCUGAACCAGCCAUGCCGCGUGCAGGAAGAAUGCCCUAUGGGUUGUAAACUGCUUUUAUUUGGGAAUAAACCUCUUUACGUGUAGAGAGCUGAAGGUACCAAAUGAAUAAGCACCGGCUAACUCCGUGCCAGCCGCCGCAGUAA